UUCUUUGAUUUAUCCCAGUUGAAGCUGGUACAGUAAUGACAUAGGUUGAAUUCUUUGAUUUAUCCCAGUUGAAGCUGGAAUGGUAAUGACAUGACAUAGGUUGAAAGGAUAACAUCUCUAUUUACACUGUUGCAAUGUUUAAGUGCAGGUGAAAUCACUGUUAAUCAUGAAACAAUAUAUUUACGCACGAUCAUGCCCUUUUACAAACAUUGUGCUGUGUCCUGUUUGUACAGCUUUAAUACAGAGCAGAAAACUAGAUGCAGGUUUGCUAAUAAUUUUAGAUAAAACGAUGGUAAUUUAUGGAUGUCAACAUUUGUAAUACAACCGACACAACGUUUGGAGAAUAUUCUUUCACUUCAUUUCACCUGAUGAAGACGUUGUGUCACAAGUUGACCUCCAUAACUUUUGGUACAAAGUGUGAAUCCCAUUUCUGGUGUCCCCCGCCGUGAUUCCACCUAGAUAUUGCCAGGACAUUGCUAAAAGUGGCAUAAAACUAUACCACUCAUUCACAUCAUAAGUGGGGGAUGGGGUAGACUAGUGGUUAAAGCGUUCACGUCAUGCUGAACACCUGGGUUCGAUUCCCCACAUGGGUACAAUGUGUGAAGACCAUUUCUGGUAAUCCCCCACCAUGAUAUUGCUGGAAUAUUACUGAAAGCAGCUAAAACACAUACCCACUCACUCUUUCACAUUUAAUAACUGUGGCAUUCCUGAGACAGCUGUGUAGAUAUAUCUAUGGCUACUGUAAUUAAUGGCAAAUGAGGUUUUUAAUUUAUGUUUCAAUUAUUGUAAAUAUUCUUCAAGUGUAUGGUUCUGUUAUGACUCAUAUUAAUUUUAUUUCUGAUUGUAUAUAAGAACAAGAAUUAAGAUAGAUGUUAAUAGUCAUUAGAGUUUUUAUUUUAUUCUAUAUUUGUUAAUACUCUGUUGACUUUUAUGCUCGAUAUCAUCUCAUUUUAUAAAGGAAUGGUUUGUAGUGUCAAUGCUGAGUCAAAGUAUUAUGUAGCAUAAUUUAGUUGUGUUUACAACAACUAUGAACUAUGAGUACUGUGUUCAAAUGGUGAUCAUACAUAUUUAAUUGGAAAGGUGGGUUGUAAUUAAAACAUUAACUUGUCUGCCAAGCCCCAGAUAUUGGCAGAUC